rnacentral:rRNA from 1 species
UACGUAGGUGGCAAGCGUUGUCCGGAAUUAUUGGGCGUAAAGCGCGCGCAGGCGGUCCUUUAAGUCUGAUGUGAAAGCCCACGGCUCAACCGUGGAGGGUCAUUGGAAACUGGUGGACUCGAGUCCCGGAGAGGAGAGUGGAAUUCCUGGUGUAGCGGUGAAAUGCGUAGAUAUCAGGAGGAACACCGGUGGCGAAGGCGGCUCUCUGGACGGUGACUGACGCUGAGACGCGAAAGCGUGGGGAGCAAACAGG